rnacentral:antisense_RNA from 1 species
ACACAAAAUGGCGACACGUGGUUAGCAUUCGUCGCCAACGAGAAAUUGGGGUCGGCCCGAAAGCUCUAGAAUGCACCCCCCUUCUUCCCCGGGGCCUUCCACCUCCGCGAGUUUUAUGACUUAAAAAACCCCACAGGCUGGUCUGAAGGUCGGAGGCCUAAUUUUAACGCGUUUUCCUCCCUUUAAUUUGAAACGCGAACGCGAAUGGCUGUAAAAUAGGAAGACAAACAUAAAGAUGAAGUGCUUAAUUCAAGGUCACACAAUGUCGGGGAUGGACCUCCAGAUUUCCUUACUGGUGAGACGUGGUCUUGUAACACAGUGGUUAAGAAUGUGACUUUGGAGCCAGCCUGCUAGGGGCUGAAUUCUGACUCAGCCAUUUACUAACUGUGUGACCUUAGGUGGAGUCUCACUCUGUAGCCCAAGCUGGAGUGGUGUGAUCUCGACUCACUGCAACCUCCGCCUCCUGGGCUCAAGUGAUUCUCGUGCCUCAGCCUCCUGAGUAGCUGGGACUACAGGGGACCAGAUGUGCAGAGGUAAUGAAUACCAGGGAAUCAGGAAACCACUGGAUCAGUUCUUUGAGCCACAGAACAACACUCAUCCCAGCAGCUGGGAAGCUAUCUGCAAAAGUCCAUCUGCAGAAAGGGCUUCCUGGUCUUGCGUGUGGCUGGGCCAUUUCUCUGGAUGCAGGUUUUUCAUUAUACAGUCUUCUCAAAGAAACACCUGCUCUCAACACCUUCUCGGUGACUCCAUUUCCCCUCCUC